UAAGGAAUAUUGCGCAAUGGAGGAAACUCUGACGCAGCAACGCCGCGUGGGGGAUGAAGCACUAUGGUGUGUAAACCCCUGUAGACAGGGACGAACGAUAUCUGUUCGUAAGGGCAGUUAUGUGACGGUACCU
rnacentral:rRNA from 1 species